ACGCUGGCGGCAGGCCUAACACAUGCAAGUCGAGCGGUAGAGAGAAGCUUGCUUCUCUUGAGAGCGGCGGACGGGUGAGUAAUGCCUAGGAAUCUGCCUGGUAGUGGGGGAUAACGUCCGGAAACGGACGCUAAUACCGCAUACGUCCUACGGGAGAAAGCAGGGGACCUUCGGGCCUUGCGCUAUCAGAUGAGCCUAGGUCGGAUUAGCUAGUUGGUGGGGUAAUGGCUCACCAAGGCGACGAUCCGUAACUGGUCUGAGAGGAUGAUCAGUCACACUGGAACUGAGACACGGUCCAGACUCCUACGGGAGGCAGCAGUGGGGAAUAUUGGACAAUGGGCGAAAGCCUGAUCCAGCCAUGCCGCGUGUGUGAAGAAGGUCUUCGGAUUGUAAAGCACUUUAAGUUGGGAGGAAGGCCAGUAAAUUAAUACUUUGCUGUUUUGACGUUACCGACAGAAUAAGCACCGGCUAACUCUGUGCCAGCAGCCGCGGUAAUACAGAGGGUGCAAGCGUUAAUCGGAAUUACUGGGCGUAAAGCGCGCGUAGGUGGGUUCGUUAAGUUGGAUGUGAAAUCCCCGGGCUCAACCUGGGAACUGCAUUCAAAACUGACGAGCUAGAGUAUGGUAGAGGGUGGUGGAAUUUCCUGUGUAGCGGUGAAAUGCGUAGAUAUAGGAAGGAACACCAGUGGCGAAGGCGACCACCUGGACUGAUACUGACACUGAGGUGCGAAAGCGUGGGGAGCAAAC
rnacentral:rRNA from 1 species